rnacentral:sRNA from 14 species
CUGGCAAAGGUGUAACAUCCAUCACCCGCAUUGAUCACUAGGGUUGAUUCUACUGAUGUGGCCAGCAAGGUGGGUGUCCCUGUCCUG